GACGAACGCUGGCGGCGUGCCUAAUACAUGCAAGUCGAGCGAGCGGAACCAACAGAUUUACUUCGGUAAUGACGUUGGGAAAGCGAGCGGCGGAUGGGUGAGUAACACGUGGGGAACCUGCCCCUAAGUCUGGGAUACCAUUUGGAAACAGGUGCUAAUACCGGAUAAUAAAGCAGAUCGCAUGAUCAGCUUUUGAAAGGCGGCGUAAGCUGUCGCUAAGGGAUGGCCCCGCGGUGCAUUAGCUAGUUGGUAAGGUAACGGCUUACCAAGGCGACGAUGCAUAGCCGAGUUGAGAGACUGAUCGGCCACAUUGGGACUGAGACACGGCCCAAACUCCUACGGGAGGCAGCAGUAGGGAAUCUUCCACAAUGGACGCAAGUCUGAUGGAGCAACGCCGCGUGAGUGAAGAAGGUUUUCGGAUCGUAAAGCUCUGUUGUUGGUGAAGAAGGAUAGAGGUAGUAACUGGCCUUUAUUUGACGGUAAUCAACCAGAAAGUCACGGCUAACUACGUGCCAGCAGCCGCGGUAAUACGUAGGUGGCAAGCGUUGUCCGGAUUUAUUGGGCGUAAAGCGAGCGCAGGCGGAAAAAUAAGUCUAAUGUGAAAGCCCUCGGCUUAACCGAGGAAUUGCAUCGGAAACUGUUUU
rnacentral:rRNA from 1 species